CCAUUAAACCCAAUUGAAAUUGGGCCUAAAACUAGGAUUCAUUAAGCCCAAAACUAUGUUUGAACUUAAAUGCAAAAAAUUAAAAUUUUUCUGCCAAAAUGAAAACUUAUGGAACCAUAGGGACCUCCAUAAUAAAAACCAUGAAACCCUAAAUCCAUAUUUUUCUUUCUUCUUUCCCCAACCGCCAUCUCCAAAAACCUCCAGCCACUGUUCACUAUUGCCACCGAUCUCCGACGCCGACGCCAAACCAACCGCUGCCGCCUGGCCGGAAAACGUGCCAAAACAUAUUGAAUGCAGAGUGGUUGUUGAUUCAAGUCUGGUUCAGCUAACUCUCUAAGAGUUCUUUCUACAGGUGCAGGUCUGUCCAUCACUUGUUUUUCUGAAUCGCUAGAUGAUUCAACUAAAUCAGGCAUUGUAUCUGUUUCAGAAAGCAAAGGCGACGAGGAUCGUUGCUUAGCUCGCUUCGUCUGCUGUCUCAGCUAGCGAGCUGUCUUCUCAAUUUCAGGAUCAAACGAAAGUGUACCUGUACGAGAAGAACGAACCAUACACCAAGUAAAACGUAAAAAGGAUUAAAUAAAUGACACCAAUCCCCGGCAACGGCGCCAAAAUUUGAUGGUUGCUGAAGCUAACAAAAAUAAAUUCCUACUCUAAAUAAAUUGUGUAUAGUGAUUGAGUAGGGUAGUGUCCACAGUGAUUGGUAAUUAUUUAAAUCCUUUUGAAACGUAAAACGUAAAAUGGGGGAAUUGUUGACAAUAAUAAAAAUCAAAUUAAAAUAACAAGAAUGCAAAUUAAAGUUGUAAUUCAAAUUAGAGAAAGCUCUGGUUGAAGGAAUUAACUCAGCUUGAUUCGACUACUGAUCAUUGAUUCAAAUAUAGAUUAUUAUUACUUAUGAAUAGACCGGUUAUAGCUACUGAGACCCUCUAAUAGCCAAUCUCUCCUUAACUAGUCGAUAACCAAGGUACAACCAUUGGUUAUUUCCCUAAUCAAUCGACAACCCUAGAUACGAUCAUAAGAUUUAAUCAAUUGACAGCCUGAAAAACCAGAGAGACCCAAAUCCUAAUCAACACAUAUGAUGAUUCAUUUAAAUUAGAUUGUUUAUUCUCACAACACAACUCACUGAUAUGUUAUUUGUCACAAACAUUAAAUUCUUCAUACGAUGAAUUCUUUAAUUGACAAUAGAUUAAGUUGAUAAUUAAAUAGUGGCCAAUUACCUAAUUAACAAACAUAAUCAUGAAAAUAAUUCAGAGAAUAAACAAAUACCCAAAAAGUAAUAAAACAAUCAAAGCACAAGAAAGAUCUCACAGUAGUGAUGAAUCAAAGCUGCAUUAACCUUCAACCAGAAAAAUAGGUUUAGUUCUUCAUAGAGAGAAGAGAAAAGUUUAGAUGUAGGGUUUCUUUUUCCUCUUCCAAAAGUCCCCCUUUUUCAUAAUAGAUUCCUCUCUUAAAUACUCUCUCUCUCUUCUCCUCUAGAAUUCUAUUUAAAAUAAAAUACUAAUAUCUGAAAUAUUAAAUUCGUAAUUACAAAAAUAACCAAAAAUACAAAACACGUUAAACUAAAAACUGUAGGUCCAUAGUUGACAGCACGCGCCCACGCCUUAUCAACAAAGUUCUUCUGACGCUCAUAAUUUCUCCAAGAGAACAAUCAUCUUUAAAUAUCAUCUUAUAGCUCAAUUUUAUCACAAAUCAAUAAAAUUGCACCUACAAAAGUAAAACACAAGUAAAUCAUCAUUAUUAAGUGCAAAACAUCGAUAUUAAGGGAAGUAAACAAUGCAAAACUAGUGCAUAAAUUGCACUCUAACAACUGGUCACAUUAGAAAGGCUUUAUCACUGACAUUGUUGCUAAAGCAAUCAAAUAUGAUGCUUCGACUACAUCAGUUUCCUAAACAUUAUAACAAAAAAUAAGUGGGGAAAAAAAUUAAAGAAAGAAAUUAUUGAUAAAACUAUGCAAAGAGUUAACUAGUUAAAUUAGUGAUCAUGAUCCCAAAAUUGCAAGUUUUCAACAUAACUGAACAUUUACUUGUGUUUUGUAAUAAUACAUGGCAUACAUCUGCUUCCUCCCACAAUCUAAUGCAGCUUCCAGGCUCCUGAGGGAAUUGCCUCAUAACAAUUUGUCUACCCCAUUUCUUGUAACUACUCACGCAUCCACAGUCCGCUGAAAUCAUCUACGGUUAAUAGAGGUUUUUCAAUAGGACUAACAAUUUUGAUAAUUGGGUCAAAAUCACAAUAUUUGAGAUUUUUUUUCACAUAAUCUCUUAGGGGUGUUCGCGGAUCGGAUUUUACAGAUUGGACAUCGAUCCAUAUCCGAUCCAUCAUUUUGUGGAUUAUAAUUUUUCAAUCCAAUCCAAUCCAUGGAUUGAUAAAAUUCAAUCCAAAUCCAAUCCAUAUAUCUGCAGAUCAGAUGCGGAUUUGACUCAAUUCAUAUCCAAUCCACACGUCUGCGGAUUGAAUGCAGAUUUGACUCAAUCCAUAUUCAAUCCAUCAUUUUGUACAUUAGUUUUCGAAUUAAAAAAUUUUAAUUCUCUCCAACUAAUGAAAUAAAAAAAAACUAAUAUAAAAAUAAUUUUGCUACCAAUUAAAUUUAAAAUUGAAUAAAAUUUAAAUAAAUUAAUUGUUUAAAUAAACCUAAAAUAAUACAUUUAAAAUUUCAAAAUAUAACGCAUCGAGACUAAUUAUUCAAAUAAAGCUACAACAAUACGUUCAAAGUUUCAAAAUAUAACAUACCAAGCUUAAUUGUUCAAAUAAAAUUACAAUAAUACGUUAAUAUAACACUGAAAUUAAUUAUUCAAAUAAAGCCAGAAUUAAUUGAAAUGGCGAAGUUUUGGAAACCAAACACAGUCUGAUCCUUUACCAGGGCUGUUGCUCCUGUCGAAAAGUGGUGAUUACGGAGCCGUCCAUGAUGGGAACUAGGAGAAGCCGUACAGGUGGUGAUCUUGAAGGUUGUGAUAGUGCAAUUGUUCAGCUGGAACCAGUGAAUGUGAAGUGGCUCGAUGGACUUGGGAAAGAAGAUGGCUUGCUCUUACCAGAAUCGCGCGGCUGAUGUCCUUCAAAUCUGUGUCGAGAGUGUAUCCAACCAGUAUUGAGUGUUGCUAGUGUGUGUAACAACAGGGAAGCUUAGGGUUUUUUGUUUGCAAAUUGUUGAUGAUUUGGCGUCAUGUUACUUUGUUUUUGGGUGACUUUGCAAAUUGUUAGUGACUUGGCGUCAUAUUAUUUUGUUUUUGGGUGACUUUGCAAAUUGUUGGUGACUUGGCGUUAUGUUACUUUACUUUUGCUAGUACAUGUGACUUUGUUUUUAUUUUGUUUUACAAUUUUUACAAGUUAUAUUUGUGUAUUUGAUUAUUUAAUUAUUUUUCAUUUUAUAUUAUUAUUAGGUAAUGGCUAAGAUAUGUUAUAGUGCUUAUGUAACUAUGUAAUCUCACAUUUAUAAUUUUUUAAAUUAAAUUAUAUAUAUAUAUAUAUAUUGACGGAUUCACGUAUUUUUGCGGAUUUACAGAAGUAAAUCCAUAUCCAAUCCAUCGACUGCGGAUUUUUAAAUUUUCAAUCCAUAUCCAAUCCACCAAUCCAUAGAUUGGAUUUAUACGGUUCAGAUUAAGCGGAUCAGAUUAGAUUCUGAACACCCCUCUAAUCUUUAUACUUCCCUCAUAGAAACAUGCAAUAUUGAGAAAUAUUCUUUUUUCUUUUUCUUUUGACCCAUCAAAACUUAUUUGAAGUACAUGAAGAAUCUCACUUUCAGGACCUCUUUGUAGUCAUUGUAGUGCACUUUCCUGUUCAGCUAUAGUUCUACCAAACAAAAAUGAGCCCAGAACCUUCAGAGCUAAUGGAAGACCACCAGCAUUAAGGGGAAAAAAAUAAAACUUUACAAAACUAAGUUUUUGGUUUUUAGUGAAUGAGGUUUCUCAUCUCAUCUCCACCUUAGGGGAAAAAAAAUAAAACUAAAACUAAACUAAAACUAAAAUUGAUCAAGAAUUGUAGACGCAAAUAUUUCUCAAAGACCAAAGUUUACCUGUACAAAAAUAUGAAACUUGAUAAUGGUUCUGUUUUGGAAAUAAAUGAUGUUUUUCUUCAUAUUACUUCUGAAAAUUCAAAAACAAAAAUGAAAAUAAAGAGAACUGCAUAGCAUAGGACUUACAGCUUCGAUAUGUUGCAAGCAGUAGAGGAAUUUUCUUAAUAAGAAUUCCGACCGCAAACAUUCUAAGCCCUAACAUCCAAUAUGUUUUAAAUAUCAACUACAUGUCAACGACGGGGAAUUCCAAGGAAUCUUCUAUUUAAAGAAUCAACCAUUGUCAAUUCUUAUAAACGAAGUCUUCAAAUUGACAUUGCGGCCUCUGUUGUUUAAAGGAAAAAAAAAUUCAGUAGUUGUCAAUUCCUAUCAACCAAGUCCUCCAACCAAAAUUACAUACGGGGGUGGAGAAAAGAAAAAUAAAAAUCAAAUGUUGAAUCCUCUUGAUUGUAUCAUGGAUAAAUCUGAUUUAGAUCUGAGUCCAUAUUUUAAUAGAUUCAUCGACCCAUUUUCAGACGUGCCAUGAAUUGUAAAUUAAGCCAAAUAUUCACAAAAAACAACAAAGAAACAAAAACCAGAUUCUGUGUUUAGCCGCAAAUGGGCUGUUUCACAGCCAAGCAAGAAAACAAAUGAAGAAAAUUAAUUGCUUUCCAGUGGUUCAAGAAUUAAUACCAUUAUUGAUUGCUUCGAGAGUGUGGGAUUUAUCCCACCAUUUCCGCCAAGCCCAUAGACGUUAUGUGGAUCAAAGCUCACAAUUCAGGAAAGUUUUUUUUGCCUUUAAUCUUUUAUCCUUACGCUUUAAUUUUUAUGUGAGCUUUGAUUAUCUUACAUUGGGGACAAUGUAAGUUCUUGGUGUGGGGGAGGGAUUUUUGCAUUAUUGAUGUCUGGAAGUAGUAUUUUCACUCUACUCAUCCUUAAAUGAUUUUGGAGUUAGUAUGCUUCAUAUAUUAUUAUUUUUUCUUUUCUUUUCUUUCUCACUACUCUUUUCCCAUCUAUCUCAAAUUAUUUACAUCUAUUUUUAUUUUAUCAUACUCUUUCAUCACUCACAUUUUAUCUUUCACUUUUCAUAUUAUUACAUACAUCUUUCUCACUUCUUAUCAUUUUUACCUUUCCUUUUAUAUAUCACUCAUACCUUCUUCUCAUUCUAUACCACUAUUGAUGAUUGAUUCAUUUGAAGAGUGUACAUGAUUUGAUGGCAAUUUUACCAACUUUGUGAGGAUUUAACCCUAUGAGCAACCACUUUGCUCUAAUAUUUUUGUUAUGUGAAUAUCAAUCUUAGUUUGUUUAUUCUAGAACUUGCUUUGUUAUGCAUGUUGAAGCCGCAUUACGGGAUUUUAUGCAUUAAAAUGAUAAGGGUAAACCCUUUUCCAUUUUUCUAUUCUCGCAUUUUUUUUUCUCUACCUGAAGACCUUUAUUUACUAUCUUUGUUUGAGCCUUAACCAUUACCCAUCUAAUUCUCUCCGUCUACUUAACCAUUUUUCUUCUUUUUGAGCCUCAAUUUAAGGAGAUUUUUGGACUCAUUGUGUGGAUAUAAUUUGUUGCUUUUCUACCUUGUAUUAAAGUUUCUCAAUUAGAUCAACAAGCAUUAUGCUUGAAUUAAAUUGUGCAAGGUUCGUUUCUUUUGUUUGAUUCGAAAAAAAAAUAAAAAAUAAAAAAAAAAGAAAAAAAAAAGAAAAAGAAAAAUUGAAAAAAAAGAUCAAAAAAAAUGUUUCCAUUCUUGGUGACUUGAAUAGAAAUAAGCAUUUUGAUAUCAUAAGUUCAUUCAAUGAGUUCAUUAUUCUCAUUUUGAUCUCUUUUUCUUUUGUAGACCUUUCUUUUUCAUUUAACCUAUUUAACCCCAUUACAACCUUUUUAAGACCCUUAGAUUUUUGCAUUUUAUUCAUAUUUUGUGGAUUGAGAUGUGAUAUAUGAGCAAGCUUAUGGUAAUAGCAUUCUUUGAUUUGAUUUGAGUGCAUAAAUGAUACCCUAAACACUUUGAGUGCAUGGAGUGAAGUCAUUGAGAGGGCUAUUAAAUCUUGUUGCACUUGAAUUUUGAAUGGAUCUUCUUGGUGGUUGAAUGUUCUUAUUCUAUCUUAUGAGAUUCUAUGCUUUAAAAAUCCUUGUCUCUCGAAUGUUGAUCGACUUAAUUUCUUGAGGUAUGCUUGCUUAAAAUUGUUUUUGGAUGAGUUGAGAUGAGAAUUGAGUGGAGAUUUGGGAUUAAUCUUGAGUUAUAUGCUUGAGGACAAGCAUCAUCUUGGUGUGGGGGAAUUUGUUAGAGUGCAAUUUAUGCACUAGUUUUCAUUAUUCACUUCUCUUAAUAUCGAUGUUUUGCACUUAAUAAUAGUUAUUUACUUGUGUUUUACUUUUAUAGGUGCAAUUUUAUUGAUUGGUAAUAAAAUUGAGCUAUAAGAUGAUGUUUAAGGAUGAUUGUUCUCUUGGAGAAAUUAUGAGUGUCAAAAGAACUUUGUUGAUAAGGCGUGGGCGCGUGCUGUCAACUGCGGACCUGCAGUUUUUAGUUUAACGUGUUUUAUAUUUUUGGUUAUUUUUGUAAUUACGAAUUUAAUAUUUCAGAUAUUAGUAUUUUAUUUUAAAUAGAAAUCUAAAAGAGAAGAGAGAGAGAGUAUUUAAGGGAGGAAUCUAUUGUGAAAAAAGGGGAGAUUGGAGAAAAAGAAAGAAACCCUAGAUCUAAACCUUUCUCUUCUCUCUAUGAAGAACUAAACCUAUUUUUCUGGUUGAAAGAUAAUGAAGCUUUGAUUCAUCACUAUUGUGAUGACUUUCUUAUGCUUUAAUUGUUUUAUUGCUUUUUGGGUAUUUGUUUAUUGUCUGAAUUAUUUUCAUGAUUAUGUUUGUUAAUUAGGUAAUUGGCCACUAUUUAAUUAUCAACUUAAUCUAUUGUCAAUUAAAGGAUUCAUCGUAUGAAGAUUUUAAUGUUUGUGACAAAUAACAUAGCAGUGAGUUGUGUUAUGAGAAUAAACAAUCUAAUUUAAAUGAAUCAUCGCAUGUGUUGAUUAGGAUUUGGGUCUCUCUGGUCUUUCAGGCUGUCAAUUGAUUAAAUCCUAUGAUCAUAUCUAGGGUUGUCUAUUGAUUAGGGAAAUAACUAACGGUCGUACCUUGGUUAUCGACUAGUUCAGGAGAGAUUGGCUAUUAGAGGGUCUUAGUAGCUAUAAUCGGUCUAUUCAUAAGUAAUAAUAAUCUAUAUUUGAAUUAAUGAUCAGUAGUCGAAUCAAGCUGAGUUAAUUCCUUCAACCAGAGCUUUCUCUAAUUUGAAUUACAACUUUAAUUUACAUUCUUGUUAUUUUAAUUUGAUUUUUAUUAUUGUCAACAAUUCCCCCAUUUUACGUUUUACGUUUCAAAAGGAUUUAAAUAAUUACCGAUCUCUGUGGACACGACCCUGCUCAAUCACUAUACACAAUUUAUUUAGAGUAAGUAUUUAUUUUUGUUGGCUUCGACAACCAUCAAAUUUUGGCGCCGUUGCCAGGGAUUGGUGUCAUUUAUUUAAUCCUUUUUACGUUUUCUUGGUGUAUGGUUCGUUCUUCUCAUACAGGUACACUUUCGUUUGAUCCUGAAAUUGAGAAGACAGCUCACCAGCUGAGACAGCAGACGAAGCGAGCUAAGCAACGAUCCUCGUCACCUUUGCUUUCUGAAAUAGAUACGGUGCCUGAUUUGGUUUAAUCAUCUAGCGAUUCAGAAGAACAAGUGAUGGAUAGAGCUGCACCUGUAGAAAAAACUCUUAGAGAGUUAGCUGAACUAGACUUGAAUCAGCAACCACUCUACAUUCAAUAUGUAGAUUUGGAGGUAAAUUUUGAAUUAAAGUCUGGUCUUAUUCAUUUAUUACCCAAGUUUCAUGGUUUUGCAGGUGAAGAUCCUCAUAAACAUCUCGAGGAGUUUCAUGUUGUAUGUUCAAGUAUGAGACCACAAGGCGUGACUGAAGAGCAGAUUAAGCUGCGUGCUUUUCCUUUCUCUUUAGAUGGACUAGCUAAAGACUGGUUGUACUACUUGCCUCCUGGAUCAAUUACAACAUGGAAUGGUUUGAAGAAGCAGUUUCUCGAGAAGUACUUUCCUGCUUCAAGAGCUGCCAACAUCAGAAAAGAUAUUUGUGGGAUCAGACAACUUCCUGGGGAAACUUUGUAUGAGUAUUGAGAGCGAUUCAAACAAUUGUGUGCCAGCUGUCCUCAGCAUCAGAUUUCUGAUCAACUUCUUAUUCAAUAUUUUUACGAAGGACUGUCAUUAAUGGAUAGGAGUAUGAUAGAUGCUGCUAGUGGAGGUGUGUUCGUGAACAAGACUCCAACUCAAGUAAGGGAGUUGAUCUCAAAUAUGGCUGCCAAUGCACAACAAUUUGGCAGCAGGCAAGAUGCCACUUCAAGAAUGGUGAAUGAGGUAAAUAUUUCUUCUGUUGAACAACGUUUAGAUAAACUUACUUCUCUUGUGGAAAAGUUUGUUUUAGGUAAUGUGCAACAGAUAAAGACUUGUGGCAUUUGUUCCAAUAUGGGUCAUUCAACUGAUAUGUGUCCUACACCUCAAGAAGAACCCGUUGAACAAGCCAAUGCAAUUGGAGGAUUUCCAGGCAUGCCUCAGAGGAGGUAUGAUCCUCAUGCACAAACAUACAAUCCGGGAUGGAAGGAUCACCCCAACUUCAGCUAUGGAGUUAGGCCGUAAGGAUUCCCACAACAGUAUCCACCAAGACAACCAGCACCUCCACAGUCAAACUCCAAGUUAGGUAUAUCUCUUAAAGAAAUUGUUAAAUCACUUGCGACUAACGCUCAACAAUUUUAGCAGCCAACCACAACAAGCAUUCAGAAUUUGGAGAGCAAAGUGAGUCAAUUGGCAACUACGAUGAGCCGUCUAGAGUCUCAAGUAUCAGGGAGAUUGCCUUUACAAUCUGAGGUGAAUCCAAAGCAAAACGCUAGUGCCAUCAUCCUUAGAAGUGGGAAGGAGUUGCAAGAGCCUAGUAAGAAAGUGACAAAGCAUGUAGAAGAUGAGCUUGAGAAGAAUGAAUUGAUGCCUAAAUCCAAAGAUGCACAACCCACCAGAGCGAAACCCCUACCUAUUGUGAUACCUCCUCCUUUUCCAAAUCAGUUUGCAAAAUCCAAGAAGGAGGAACAAGGGAAAGACAUCCUUGAGACAUUUCGCAAGGUUGAGGUAAACAUUCCCUUAUUAGAUGCUAUAAAACAAAUACCUCGAUAUGCUAAAUUCCUUAAGGAACUAUGCACCUCCAAGAGAAAAUUAAGAGGAGAUGAAAGAGUUCACAUGGGAGAGAAUGUUUCCGCAGUUCUCCAAAAGAAACUACCUCCUAAGUGCAAGGAUCUAGGUAUGUUUACUAUCUCUUGCAAAAUUGGUAGUGUUAGAGUUGAAAAGGCUAUGUUAGAUCUAAGAGCUUCAAUUAAUGUCAUGCCUCGUUCUAUUUAUUCAUCUUUGAAUGUUGGGGCAUUAAAAGAAACUGGCGUGAUAAUUCAACUAGCUGAUAGGUCUAAUACAUAUCGUGAUGGGGUAUUAGAGGAUAUCUUAGUACAAGUUAAUGAGUUGGUUUUUCCUGCUGAUUUUUAUGUACUUGAUAUGGAAGAGGAUAACUCCUCUAAUUCUAUCCCAAUUUUGCUAGGAAGACCUUUUCUUAACACUGCUAGAACUAAAAUGGAUGUACAUAAAGGGACUCUUACUAUGGAGUUUAAUGGAGAGGUUAUAGAGUUCAAUAUGUAUGAUGCUAUGAAAUAUCUCAGUGAGGAACAUUCGGUAUUUUCUAUGGAUGUUAUUAACCCUAUAGUGCAGGAAGUUUUUUAUUUGGAUGUUGAAGAUUCAUUGGUAGCUGCUUUAAAUAACAGUUUGGGCCUCGAAAGAUUGCAAAAGGAUGAAAAUGAGUUUGUUUUAAAUUCUGUAUUGCAAGAGACAAUUUAUGAAUUAAAUUCUUUGAGAACUUUAACUCAUCAUAUGUCUAAUAUUGAAUUACCUUCAUCUCAUGCAAAACUUCUUCCAUCUAAUUUGUAGGCACCGAAAAUAGAGCUUAAACCAUUGCCGAGUUAUCUAAAGUACAUGUUUCUAGGAGAGGAUGAGACACUUCCGGUGAUCAUCUCUUCAAAGCUUAGUACUUUAGAGGAAGAGAAACUUAUUAGAGUGCUGAAGGAUUACAAAAAGGCUAUUAGGUGGACAAUUACAGAUAUUAAAAGGAUAAGUCCGUCUAUGUGCAUGCAUAGAAUACUACUGGAGGAAGAUGCCAAACCUUUAAUUCAAGCUCAACGCCGUUUGAAUCCACUCAUAAUGGAAGUAGUGAAGAAAGAAAUUCUAAAACUUCUUGAUGCAGGUAUAAUCUAUCCAAUUUCGGAUAGCAAAUGGGUAAGUCCGGUACAAGUAGUACCAAAGAAAACUGGGAUAACAAUUAUUGAGAAUUCUUAUGGUGAGUUAGUACCUACCCGAGUUUAGAAUGGGUGGAAGGUUUGUAUUGAUUUUAGAAAGCUUGAUUCACUCACUAGGAAGGAUCAUUUUCCUAUUCCUUUUAUUGAUCAGAUGCUUGAAAGGUUAGCAGAAAAAUCUCACUUUUGUUGUCUUGAUGGCUAUUCAGGUUUUCAUCAGAUACCAGUUGCGCCCGAGGAUCAGGAGAGGACUGCCUUCACAUGUCCUUUUGGAACCUUUGCGUACCGACGUAUGCCAUUUGGUCUUUGUAACGCUCCCGCCACUUUUCAGAGGUGCAUGGUCAGUAUUUUUUCAGACUAUGUAGAAAACACUAUAGAGGUAUUUAUGGACGAUUUUAUGGUCUAUGCUGAUUCUUUCGAUGAUUGUCUCUGUAAUCUGAAGAAAGUGCUUGAAAGAUGCAUUGAAACAAACCUUGUCUUGAAUUAUGAAAAAUGUCAUUUUAUGGUAAAUUAAGGCAUUAUUUUGGGUCAUGUAGUCUAUGUUAGAGGAAUUGAGGUAAAUAAAGCUAAAAUAGAUGUUAUUAAAUCUUUACCUUAUCCCACAUGUGUGCGGGAAGUUCGUUCUUUCCUUGGUCAUGCAGGUUUCUAUAGACAAUUUAUCAAGGAUUUUUCGAAGAUAGCUCAGCCUUUAUGCAAGCUUCUUCAGAAAGAUGUGACGUUUGAUUUUAAUGAAGCAUGCAAGGUAGCAUUUGAUAAACUUAAGGAGUUAUUGACUUCAGCUCCAAUUAUACAGCCACCAGACUGGAGCCUCCCUUUUGAGAUAAUGUGCGACGCCAGUAAUUAUAUUAUUGGUGCUGUUCUCGAACAAAGGGUUGGAAGAGCUGCUCAUGUGAUAUAUUACGCAUCGAGAACACUUGAUAGUGCUCAAUGCAAUUACUCAACAAUGGAAAAAGAACUUUUAGCUAUUGUUUUUGCUUUAGAAAAAUUCCGUUCAUAUUUAUUGGGUACUAAAGUGAUUGUUUUUUCUGACCAUGUAGCUUUCAGAUAUUUGCUCACCAAGAAGGAAGCGAAACCGAGACUUAUUCGCUGGAUCCUACUGCUUCAAGAAUUCAACUUGGAGAUCCGUGACAAGAAAGGAACAGAAAACUUAGUUGCAGACCACCUUAGUAGAUUGAUCACGAGUGAAGAAGCAGCACCUUUGAAGGAUGAUUUUCCAGAUGAGCAUCUCUUUGUAACUCAAGGUAUGGUUCCUUGGUACGCUAACAUUGUCAAUUACUUAGUUACAAGAAUACUACCUAGUGAUCUGACGAGGGCUCAAAAAGAUAAAAUUAAGAGCGAUGCUAAAUACUAUGUUUGGGAUGACCCUUACUUGUGGAAACAUUACUCUGACCAAGUCAUCAGAAGGUGCGUAUCUGAGUUUGAAAUUCCUUUUAUUCUUCAGUUUUGUCACUCAUAUGCAUGUGGUGGUCAUUUUGGUCCCAAAAGGACAGCAUCCAAGGUGUUAGAAUGUGGUUUAUUUUGGCCUACUUUAUUUCGUGAUUCAUACAUGUUUUGUAAGUCGUGUGAGAAUUGUCAAAAGACUGGUAAUUUAAGUCAUAGAAAUCAAAUGCCACUUACCCCUAUUCUUGUAUGUGAAAUAUUUGAUAUGUGGGGCAUUGAUUUUAUGGGACAUUUUCCCUCAUCUUUUGGCAAUGCUUACAUUCUUUUAGCAGUGGAUUACGUUUCUAAGGGGGUAGAGGCUAAGGCCACCUGGACUGACAAUGCUAAAGUUGUUGUAGAUUUUGUCAAGUUUAAUAUUUUUGCCAGGUUUGGUGUACCGAGAGCGAUGAUAAGUGAUAGAGGCACUCAUUUCUGUAAUCGAGUGGUGGAAGCUUUGUUCAAAAGAUAUCAUGUUACCCACCGAGUGUCUACCGCCUAUCAUCCGCAGUCAAGUGAACAAGCUGAGAUAUCAAACAGAGAAAUCAAGUCUAUUCUUGAAAAGAUAGUUAGUCCAAAUCGAAAGGAUUGGAGUUUGCGAUUAGAUGAUGCAUUAUGGGCGUAUUGCAUGGCUUACAAAACUCCCAUAGGUAUGUCUCCUUAUCGUUUAGUAUUUGGUAAGCCUUGUCAUUUACCUGUAGAACUUGAGCACAGAGCAUACUGGGCAGUUAAGCAAUGCAAUAUGCGGAUGGAUGAAGCGGGAAAGCAAAGGAAGUUGCAGCUGCAAGAGUUGGAGGAGAUUAGAAAUGAAUCCUACGAGAGUUCGCGAUUUUACAAGAAAAAGACGAAGACAUUUCAUGACAGAAUAAUUUUGAGAAAGGAGUUCUCUGUUGGUCAAAAAGUUCUUCUUUUUCAUUUUAAACUUAAACUUUUUCCUAGUAAAUUACGUUCUCAUUGGGUAGGACCUUUUAUUGUUACUAAUGUUAUUCCUCAUGGUGCAGUUGAGAUUCGGACUCCAACCUCUGAUAAAGUCUUUAAGGUUAAUGGUCAUCGUUUAAAACCUUUUUAUGAAGGUUUUUCGGUGAAUAUUGUGGAGGAAAUGGCUCUCGAGAGUCCUAUUUAUGGAGAUUGAUGCAUAAAUGUGUCUAGCCAAAGACAUAAAACAAAGGCGCUUUUUGGGAGGCAACCCAAGUGAUUUGUUUAUUUUGGUUUUUGUUUUAUCUUCUUUUAGUUUUGAUUCAAAUAAAAAAAAAUUAAAUAAUGUGUUUGCUUAUUUUGGUCAGAAGAAAAUUUUUGAUAAGGCGUGCCCACGUGCUUAUUAGAAAAGUACUUUUGAAAUUUUUAGUGUCUCAAAGUGAUUCAUCACUAAAAAAAAAAAUAUUUUUUUUCCUUCUUUUCUUUCUUUUAUAUAUAUAUAUAUAUUUAUUUAUUUAUUUAAAAAAAUGAAAAAAAAAACAAAAAUCACAAAUCACAAAUCAUUGUUCACAAAUCCAUAAGUCAAAAAAAAAAAUUCAUUGUUGAUUAUCGUUUUCACCAGCAGCAGCCGCAUCAGUCCCACCUGCAACCACUAGCCCGCGCGCAGCAAGCCCCAGCCAUCACCAUCGCGCAGUGCAUCAGUCCCGCGUGCGCAACGCAGCCGAGCAGCAGCAGACGAGCACACCCCGCAACGCAGAUCCUCAGCUCCAGCCCCCGCGCGCAGUUCAAAUCAAUCCAGUCGUCACCAUCACGCAGCAGCACAGCCGCGGGCAACGCAAUGCAACCAGCAGCCCACGUGCGCCGCACAAUCAGUCCCACGCGCAACACAAGCCCCAGCAAAGCAACUAGCAUCACGCAACCCCCGCAACGCAGCACGAACCAACCAACUCCUAAGUGAUCUUUCUUUCCUAAAAAAUUAUAUGCUAAGAAUCGAUGCACACAUUUCAAAACAGGAUCACGUAAGAAAGAACUCUUUGAUUUACUCGGGUCAUAGGCAUUGUGAUCAACAGAUAAAUUACACCAAAGACCAUAAGGCUCAAAAUUUUCGCUAAAGUCACAAGUUGUUCCUAAAUAUGCAUCACUAGAAGAAUAAUAAUCAUCAAUGAAUCCUAAAGCUAGGUUAAAAUUCGUGAUAGAGUGUGAAAAAUUUCGUUCCAUUAACCUAAACUUUAUAACAUUCGGGAUAUGCAAAGUAAAAUCAUUCGGUAUAUUAAAUUGAAAAGUAGCAUAGAACUCCCUAAUCAACUCAACAUAACCCAAACAAUCAACAUCAACAAACUUACGCAAACCAAUCUUAUCUAUCAAAGAAUCAAAAUUAUCCUUAACAUUCAAUUUUUCAAGAGUCGGGUAAUGAAUAUACUUAGCUGGAAGUAUUUUUCGCUUGGAAAUAUCUUUAUACCUUUCUUUCUCUUGUUGAGUCGUGAAUGUGAGGCACCCUCCGAGAUUGGAUUCCGCAAGUGGCAAAACACUCAUGUCUUUUCCAUAUUUCGAUCUUUGUCUCACGGCUUGGCGUGAAUUUGAAACUGUAUUCCAUGGAACCGUAGUGGGAGUGGCAAUCUUGGAUUUCUUUGCGACGGGUGUCUUUUUAGAUGACUUGGAAGUUGAUGCUUUCCUCUUCGGCAUUGUUACAAUAAUUUCACUCACGGAUUUCGAUUCACCCGGUUGGAAUACAGGGCGUAGGCUGGUUGCGGACGAUUGUUGCUCGGUUGGAGCUUGGCGCGAUGGUGGAUUGCUGGUUGUGCGCUGGUGAUACUGGUUGAGUGCGGGAUGCUACGCGUUGGGGCUGAUUCUGAUGCGCGCUGCAGGGGCUGGUUCUGCUGCGGUAGUGACGCUGGUUGUGUUGCGUGCGCGGGCUGGAGCUGAUUCUGCUGCGCGCACGGGCUGCUGGAUUUGUGCGCUAGGGUUGAUUGCACGUGAGAGCUGGGCUGAUGCUGGUUCUGCGCGCUGCUAAGCAAAGGCUGGAUCUGCGCGCGCGGGUUGCUGCGUGGCUGCUCGGUGAAGGUUGGAGAAGAAAACCAAUUCUGUGAAUUAGGGAUUUUGUGAACAGUAAUUUUUUUUGUUUUUUUUUCAAAUAAUAUAUAUAUAUAUAUAUAAAAGAAAGAAAAGAAAGGAAAAAAACCUUUUUUUUCAUUUUUUUAAUUUUCAAAUAAAUAAAUAAUUUUUUUUUUUUAAUGAUGAAUCACUUUGAGACACAAAAAAAAUUUCAGAAGUACUUUUCUAAUAAGCAUGUGGGCACGCCUUAAAACCAUUUUACUUUAAAAAUCACAGAAGUACUUAUUAGUUAAGACGUGGGCACGCCUUAUCAAAAAUUUUCUUCUAGCCAAAAUAAGCAAACACAUUAUUUUUAAAAAAAAAUCUGAAUCAAAAUUAAAAGAAGAUAUAACAAAAACCAAAAUAAAUAAAUCAUUUAGGUUGCCUCCCAAAAAGCGCCUCUAUUUUAUGUUUUUGGCUAGACACAUUUAUGCAUCAAUCUCCAUAAUUAGGACUCUCGAGAGCCACAUCCUCCACAAUAUUCAUCGAAAAACCUUCAUAAAAAGGUUUUAAGCGAUGAUCAUUAACCUUAAAAACUUUGUCAGAGGUCGGACUCCGAAUCUCAACUGCACCAUGAGGAAAAAUAUUAGUAACAAUAAAAGGUCCAACCCAGGAAGAACGUAAUUUACCCAGAAAAAGUUUAAGCUUAGAAUGAAAAAGAAGAACUUUUUGACCAACAGAGAACUCCUUUCUCAAAAUCAUUCUAUCAUGAAAUGUCUUCGUUUUUUUCCUUGUAAAAAACUUCCUGCACUAUAGGGUUAAUAACAUCCACAAAAAAUACCGAAUGUUCCUCACUAGGAUAUUUCAUGGCAUCAUUCAUAUUGAAUUCUAUAACCUCUCCAUCAAACUCCAUAAUGAGAGUCCCUUUAUGUACAUCCAUUUUAGUCCUGCCAGUCUUAAGAAAUGGUCUUCCUAGCAAAAUUGGGACAGAAUUAGAGGAGUUAUCCUCUUCCAUAUCAAGUACAUAAAAAUCGGCAGGAAAAACCAACUCAAUAACUUGUACUAAGACAUCUUCUAAUACUCCAUCAGGAUAUGCAUUAGACCUAUCAGCUAGUUGAAUUAUCACGCCAGUUUCUUUUAAUGGACCAACAUUCAAAGAUGAAUAAAUGGAAUGAGGCAUGACAUUAAUAGAAGCUCUUAGAUCUAACAUAGCCUUUUCAACUCUAACACUACCAAUUUUACAAGGGAUAGUAAACAUACCUGGAUCCUUACACUUAGGAGGUAGUUUCUUUUGGAGAACUGCUGAAACAUUCUCCCCCAUGUGAACUUUUUCAUCUCCUCUUAAUUUUCUCUUGGAGGUGCACAGUUCCUUAAGGACUUUAGUAUAUCGAGGUAUUUGUUUUAUAGCAUCUAAUAAAGGAAUGUUUACCUCAACCUUGCGAAAUGUCUCAAGGAUGUCUUUCUCUUGUUCCUCCUUCUUGGAUUUUGCAAACCGGCUUGGAAAAGGAGGAGGUAUCACAAUAGGUAGGGGUUUUGCUCUGGUGGGUUGCGCAUCUUGAGAUUUAGGCAUCAAUUCAUUCUUUUCAAGCUCAUCUUCUACAUGCUUUGUCACUUUCUUACUAGGCUCUUGCAACUCUUUCGCACUUCUAAGGAUGACAACACUAACGUUUUGCUUUGGAUUCACCUCAGAUUGUGAAGGAAACCUCCCUAAUACUUGAGACUCCAGACGACUCACUGUAGUCGCCAAUUGACUCAUUUGGUUCUCUAAAUUCUGAAGGCUUGUUGUAGUUGCCUGCUGAAAUUGUUGAGUGUUAGUCGCAAGUGAUUUAACAAUUUCUUUAAGACAUAUACCUGACUUGGAGUUUGACUGUGGAGGUGCUGGUUGUCUUGGUGGAUACUGUUGUGGGAAUCCUAAUGGCCUAACUCCAUAGCUGAAGUUGGGGUGAUCCUUCCAUCCCGGAUUGUAUGUUUGUGCAUGAGGAUCAUACCUCCUCUGAGGCAUGCCUGGAAAUCCUCCAACUGCAUUGCUUGUUCAACGGGUUCUUCUUGAAGUGUAGGACACAUAUCAGUUGAAUGACCCAUAUUGUAACAAAUGCCACAAGUCUUCACUUGUUGCACAUUACCUACAACAAACUUUUCCACAAGAAAAGUAAGUUUAUCUAAACGUUGUUCAACAGAAGAAAUAUUUACCUCAUUCACCAUUUUUGAAGUGGAAUCUUGCCUGCUGCCAAAUUGUUGUGCAUUGGCAGCCAUAUUUGAGAUAAACUCCCUUGCUUGAGUAGGGGUCUUGUUCACCAACACGCCUCCACUAACAGCAUCUAUCAUACUCUUAUCCAUUAAUGAUAGUCCUUCAUAAAAUAUUGAAUAAGAAGUUGAUCAGAAAUCUGAUGCUGAGGACAGCUGGCACACAAUUGUUUGAAUCGCUCCCAAUACUCAUAUAAAGUCUCCCCAGGAAGUUGUCUGAUCCCACAAAUGUCUUUUCUGAUGUUGGCAGCUCUUAAAGCAGGAAAGUAUUUCUUAAGGAACUGCUUCUUCAAACCAUUCCAUGUUGUAAUCGAUCCAGGAGGCAAGUAGUACAACCAGUCUUUAGCUAGUCCAUCUAAAGAGAAAGGAAAAGCACGCAGCUUAAUCUGCUCUUCAGUCACGCCUUGUGGCCUCAUACUUGAACACACAACAUGAAACUCCUUGAGAUGUUUAUGAGGAUCUUCACCUACAAAACCAUGAAACUUGGGUAAUAAAUGAAUAAGACAGACUUUAAUUCAAAAUUUACCUCCAAGUCUACAUGUUGAAUGCAGAGUGGUUGCUGAUUCAAGUCUGGUUCAGCUAACUCUCUAAGAGUUCUUUCUACGUGUGCAGCUCUAUCCAUCACUUGUUCUUUUGAAUCGCUAGAUGAUUCAACUAAAUCAGACACCGUAUUUGUUUCAGAAAGCAAAGGCAACGAGGAUCGUUGCUUAGCUCGCUUCGUCUGUUGUCUCAGCUGGCGAGCUGUCUUCUCAAUUUCAGGAUCAAACGAAAGUGUACCUGUACAAGAAGAACGAACCAUACACCAAGUAAAACGUAAAAAGGAUUAAAUAAACGACACCAAUCCCCGGCAACGGCGCCAAACUUUGAUGGUUGUCGAAGUCAGCAAAAAUAAAUACCUACUCUAAAUAAAUUAUGUAUAGUGAUUGAGCAGGGUCGUGUCCAUAGAGAUCGGUAAUUAUUUAAAUCCUUUUAAAAUGUGAAACGUAAAAUGGGGGAAUUGUUGACAAUAAUAAAAAUCAAAUUAAAAUAACAAGAAUGCAAAUUAAAGUUGUAAUUCAAAUUGGAGAAAGCUCUGGUUGAAGGAAUUAACUCAGCUUGAUUCGACUACUAAUCAUUGAUUCAAAUAUAAAUUAUUACUACUUAUGAAUAGACCGAUUAUAGCUACUGAGACCCUCUAAUAGCCAAUCUCUCCUUAACUAGUCGAUAACCAAGGUACGACCAUUGGUUAUUUCCCUAAUCAAUAGACAACCAUAGAUACGAUCAUAGGAUUUAAUUAAUUGACAACCUCAAAAACCAAAGAGACCCAAAUCCUAAUCAACAAACACAUACGAUGGUUCAUUUAAAUUAGAUUGUUUAUUCUCACAACACAACUCUCUGCUAUGUUAUUUGUCACAAACAUUAAAAUCUUCAUACGAUGAAUCCUUUAAUUGACAAUAGAUUAAGUUGAUAAUUAAAUAGUGGCCAAUUAUCUAAUUAACAAACAUAAUCAUGAUAAUAAUUCAGAGAAUAAACAAAUACCCAAAAAGUAAUAAAACAGUUAAAGCAUAAGAAAGAUCUCAUAGUAGUGAUGAAUCAAAGCUUCAUUAACCUUCAACCAGAAUAAUAGGUUUAGUUCUUCAUAGAGAGAAGAGAAAAAUUUAGAUCUAGGGUUUCUCCCUUUUCUCCCCAAAAGUCCCUCUUUUUCACAAUAGAUUCCUCCCUUAAAUACUCUCUCUCUCUUCUCCUCUAGAAUUCUAUUUAAAAUAAAAUACUAAUAUCUGAAAUAUUAAAUUUGUAAUUACAAAAAUAACCAAAAAUAGAAAACACAUUAAACUAAAAACUGCAGGUCCGUAGUUGACAGCACGCACUCACGCCUUAUCAACAAAGUUCUUCUGACGCUCAUAAUUUCUCCAAGAGAACAAUCAUCCUUAAACAUCAUCUUGUAGCUCAAUUUUAUCACCAAUCAAUAAAAUUGUACCUACAAAAGUAAAACACAAGUAAAUCACUAUUAUUAAGUGCAAAACAUCGAUAUUAAGGGAAGUAAACAAUGCAAAACUAGUGCAUAAAUUGCACUCUAACACCUCUUGAUUGUAUCAUGGAUAAAUCUGAUUUAGAUCUGAGUCCAUAUUUUAACAGAUUCAUCAACCCAUUUUCAGACAUGCCAUGAAUUGUAAAUUAAGCCAAAUAUUCACAAAAAACAACAAAGAAACAAAAAACAGAUUCUGUGUUCAGCCGCAAAUGGGCUGUUUCACAGCCAAGCAAGAAAACAAAUGAAGAAAAUUAAUUGCUUUCCACUGGUUCAAGAAUUAAUACCAUUAUUGAUUGCUUCUCUAUUGGAAGAAAUAAUUUUGAAUAAAGCACAGCAUCAUUACUAUAAAU
rnacentral:lncRNA from 1 species